AUUGGUUGCCGUCCAAGAUUAGCUGGAUACAUAGAUCUGAGCUUGGGGAGCCGCAAGCGGCAUGAUGGUUGGAAGAGUAAGACGGGGACUGCUCACCUGGAGUUUUCCCAUUGACUUGUGAACGCUGCACACACACAUAAGGCAAGCCCCGCCCCCCGGCCGUUAAUAGGCUCUGAGUUCACCUUUACUGCCACACCCAGACACGGACUGUCUUCAUCUCUCAGGUAUGGCCAAGUGAGACAAGGACAAAAGAGCCAUUUGGUCUACCUGCCUCACCUAUCUUGGACUCCUGCAACAAAAUGAUUUGAGGCAAAGUCUUGGUCUAAUUAAUUGAUGAGCUAUAUGUAUAGAGUCUUUCUUGGGCCCUAUCUCCUAGUAAGGAAGCCCAGGCAGAUCAUAAAAAGUCACAUGGAGAAGAAUCAGGGGCCCUUCCCCUGACUGAGCUCUUAGUCGGCAGCUAAUUGCACUUCUCUGGCCGUAUGAGUGACUCAUCGUGAAGCAGGUCUUGGUGCUCCAGUGCAGCUGCCGAAGAUGGUCUCUCGGGAACAGUUACGGAUCUCCCACGUACCAGAUCCCUGUUCAAACUUCCCAACUCGUGUGAGGUGGCACAUUUGCAGACCCAGUAGUGAGGAAGCUGAGGCAGGAGAAGAAAGAAUUCAAGGCCAACCUAACCGACAGUGAGAGCUCCAGACCACCCAGGGAGAUGUAGUGGGAGCACCUGUCUCAAACAAAUACAAAGUAACAAACAACAACAACAAAAA
rnacentral:lncRNA from 1 species